CUUGGUCAUUUAGAGGAAGUAAAAGUCGUAACAAGGUUUCCGUAGGUGAACCUGCGGAAGGAUCAUUAACGUAUCUCUGACGGGGUGCGGCGCGCCCAGCUCCGGUCCCAAAAGGGGCCGUGCAGCGGGCGCCUGUCCCUGUUCAACCUUACAAACCACUGUGAACCUUCACGGCGGAAGGAGGGAGACCUCCCGAUGCCGCAUACAAACUCCAGUUGUAUAAGAAUGUCGUGCGGACCAGCGCCGCCUAAAACACAAAACAACUUUCAACAACGGAUCUCUUGGCUCUCGCAUCGAUGAAGAACGCAGCGAAAUGCGAUAAGUAAUGUGAAUUGCAGAAUUCAGUGAAUCAUCGAAUCUUUGAACGCACCUUGCGCUCCUUGGUAUUCCGAGGAGCAUGCCUGUUUGAGUGUCUUGAAGUCAUCAACCCCUUCCGUUUUGCGACGGGCUGGGUUGGAUGUGGGGGCUCUGCUGCCGUGAGGCGGCUCCCCUCAAAUGCAUCGGUUGGGCCUGUGGGUCGAACUCGACUGGGCGUUGUACCAUCCUCGCUCGACAGAGACGUUCCCCUUUUGCGCCCCUCCACGACCUGCCUUACGAGAGUGGCGGUCAAGCAAACUUUGAAAUCUGACCUCAAAUCAGGUAGGACUACCCGCCGAACUUAAGCAUAUCAAUAAGCGGAGGA
rnacentral:rRNA from 1 species